AAACGACUCUNGGCAACGGAUAUCUCGGCUCUCGCAUCGAUGAAGAACGUAGCGAAAUGCGAUACUUGGUGUGAAUUGCAGAAUCCCGUGAACCAUCGAGUCUUUGAACGCAAGUUGCGCCCGAAGCCAUUAGGUUGAGGGCACGUCUGCCUGGGCGUCACGCA
rnacentral:rRNA from 1 species